GAUAUUUCUUAACUAUAUGUAAAACUCGAGUUCACUGGGUGAGCGGGAUGUUGCAGCGGAUGUUGACUAAGCUUUAGGAAUUCCCGGAUGUGUCGUGUCUUCAUACAUGGGCUUCAUCCUAUGACUCUCUUUUGAUAACUUAUUUCCGAUGCUACUUUUGAAACUGAUGUAACAAGAGUUUACUUUACUUCGUACGGUUUUUAUUAUGUCAAAUACUUUGAGACUUUAAUCUGCUGCUUAUUUCGUUAAACUAAAAUGUUUUUGUAGACUAAAAUAAAUUUUCUUUUGGGAGUUAA